GUGUAAUCAACUUGCCAUACAUGCAUUACCUCCUAAUGAGCGCCGUGUUUAAACAAGUGUAUAGAACACAUCUGUCCGGGCCUUGGGACUCGAGGCUGUGUGACCAAUUUCAGCAUCUGAAAGUUAAAUUAAUGGCCACCAUUUAGUGCCAAUAAACAGAAGGCCUGGUUUCUUCAAAAGAAACACAAGAAAUUGUUUCCUGGUUUUGCCACAGAGAUUGGGUCACAGAGUGCCACCUAAAUGGUAUUACCAUAUUUGUGUUGUCGCCUCUUGGUUUGAAAUUUAUUCCUGGUAUGACUUGUGUCUCCCCUUGUUCCAUCUCUGACACCCAAGCCCAUGGGAUGACAACCCAGGCUGAGAUGUCCCAUGUGUCACAAAGGAGUCCUUCAGUAUUUCCAGGAAUAGUUGGAACCAGCACUCCAUCCCC
ensembl:lncRNA LINC02140 long intergenic non-protein coding RNA 2140